rnacentral:tRNA from 1 species
ACGCCCGUAGGCCGUGGCCGGGUGCGCGCCCCGAAGGGGCGCGGGGCUGUGUCGAUGUGCGGCUCCGCCGCGUGGGCGCG